rnacentral:rRNA from 1 species
GACGAACGCUGGCGGCGCGCUUAACACAUGCAAGUCGAACGGAAAGGCCUGCUUUCCCUUGUGGAUUGCGGGUACUCGAGUGGCGAACGGGUGAGUAACACGUGAGUGAUCUGCCCCCAACUUGGGUAUAAGCCUGGGAAACUGGGUCUAAUUCCCGAUAGGACUGCAGGGUGGUGCCUGUGGUGGAAAACGAUUUUCUAGUGGUUGGGGAUGAGCUCGCGGCCUAUCAGCUUGUUGGUGGGGUAAUGGCCUACCAAGGCGGCGACGGGUAGCCGGCCUGAGAGGGUGGACGGCCACAUUGGGACUGAGAUACGGCCCAGACUCCUACGGGAGGUAGCAGUGGGGAAUAUUGCACAAUGGGCGGAAGCCUGAUGCAGCGACGCCGCGUGGGGGAUGACGGCCUUCGGGUUGUAAACUCCUUUCGACCGCGAGGAAGCCACCUGGUUGGAAGGGUGGUGACGGUAGUGGUAGAAGAAGCACCGGCUAACUACGUG